UACGGAGGGUGCAAGCGUUAUCCGGAUUCACUGGGUUUAAAGGGUGCGUAGGCGGGCAGGUAAGUCAGUGGUGAAAUCCCCGAGCUUAACUUGGGAACUGCCGUUGAUACUAUCUGUCUUGAAUACUGUGGAGGUAAGCGGAAUAUGUCAUGUAGCGGUGAAAUGCUUAGAUAUGACAUAGAACACCUAUUGCGAAGGCAGCUUGCUACACAGUCAUUGACGCUGAGGCACGAAAGCGUGGGGAUCAAAUAGG
rnacentral:rRNA from 1 species